GCAUGCUCCAAACAGUAUUUUUUUUCCUAGCAUUCACUACUUUCUACAGCCAUACUUUCCAUCUCAUAAGGAAUCACUAAACACUCCUUACUUGAGUAAAAACCAACAAUCAAUGUUGCACAUGGCAUUCCAGAUGACAAGUCAUCAGUUUUCUAAUGACAACUGAAGUGUUUGGAGGCCACCAAGCUUUCCCAAACAGAGAUGGCAUUGGAGCUGGGAGAGGAUCCUUUAUAAAUGCAGCUGGGGAGAGCAGAGGAGAUUCCUUACCACCCUCACUCCACUAAGAAAGCGAGAAGAACCUUUCCUUUGGAACCUAGUAAUGUGCAGAAGGCAGCAACAAUCCACAGAGAUGAAGAACAAGACCUGAUGCCUUUCAAAUGCCCAUCACUUCUUACACUUAAACACUUUUCCUGUAACUCUCCAUGCUCCAUAUUAUCAUUUAGGAGAGCUGAUUAACUUUCAGUCUGUUUUUUUCCCCCACUCUAAGUACUUGCCCAGAAAGCAUUUCCUGGGUAAUCAAAAUCAUUCAGGCUGCUA